rnacentral:ncRNA from 1 species
ACUAUGACUUGCGCUCAAGUGCCAAGUCCUCUACUCGCUUAUGUUCGGACGGCCGAACCGCUCGCGA